rnacentral:rRNA from 1 species
UACGUAGGGACCAAGCGUUGUUCGGAUUUACUGGGCGUAAAGGGCGCGUAGGCGGCUUAACAAGUCACUUGUGAAAUCUCCGGGCUUAACUCGGAACGGCCAAGUGAAACUGUCAAGCUAGAGUGCAGAAGGGGCAACUGGAAUUCUCGGUGUAGCGGUGAAAUGCGUAGAUAUCGAGAGGAACACCUGCGGCGAAGGCGGGUUGCUGGGCUGACACUGACGCUGAGGCGCGAAAGCCAGGGGAGCGAACGGG